rnacentral:rRNA from 1 species
UACGAAGGGGGCUAGCGUUGCUCGGAAUGACUGGGCGUAAAGGGCGCGUAGGCGGCUUGCACCGUCAGAUGUGAAAUUCCUGGGCUUAACCUGGGGGCUGCAUUUGAUACGUGUGGGCUUGAGUGCGGAAGAGGGUCGUGGAAUUCCCAGUGUAGAGGUGAAAUUCGUAGAUAUUGGGAAGAACACCGGUGGCGAAGGCGGCGACCUGGUCCGUGACUGACGCUGAGGCGCGAAAGCGUGGGGAGGAAACAGG